UACGGGGGGGGCAAGCGUUGUUCGGAAUUACUGGGCGUAAAGGGCGCGUAGGCGGCCUUCUAAGUCAGACGUGAAAUCCCUCGGCUCAACCGAGGAACUGCGUCUGAUACUGGAAGGCUUGAAUCCGGGAGAGGGAUGUGGAAUUCCAGGUGUAGCGGUGAAAUGCGUAGAUAUUGGGAGGAACACCAGUGGCGAAGGCGGCUCACUGGGUCUUUUCUGACGCUGAUGCACGAAAGCUAGGGGAGCAAACGGG
rnacentral:rRNA from 1 species